UAGCUGACCCUAGAAGAUGGCAAGGGCAUUAAUCAAAGACUAGUGAAGGCUCCCCCUGAGCCCUGAGGUAGCCUGUCCUGAGAAGGGCCUGUGGUCAGCUCUAUUCAGCCAGUUAGUGGCUGAUGUGAGAACUUCUUUCACUCCAAGUGAAGAGCAUAGUUUAUUAAACAGCAGACACUGAGGCACUGAAGUCAAGAGGCAAGGCUAAGGUCACACCUCCAGGGAGGGACAGAGAGAAGAACCAAACCACUUUAUUAUUUAAUAAGCAUUUACUGAAGCCCCUUUUGAGGUGAACAAUGCUGAGGACACAACAGAGGUAAAGACAACCCCGGGCCCAGCCUCAUAGGGCUCUUGGUCCAGUAGGGGGAGACAGGCCCAUUUUCAGACGGUGACAGCCAGGGUGGACAGGCCUGUGAUGGGGAGGGGAGCCCAGGUGGAAUAUCAGGGCAAUGCUGGGGAAAGCCUGGAGGCUGUGGGAGGCCAGAGGAGACACCUGGUGACCAAGAGGGCUUCCCAGAGAAUUCAUAAGAAGAACCAAGUGAAUACUGAGAAGAGCAUUCAAAGGAAAUGGCAUGUGUAUAAACAGAGAAGCAGGAAACAGACUGCAGAGUGGGGAGACAAGGAUGGAGGGUGGCAGGGCCAGAUGAUGUCGUCUUAGAUGCCACACUGCAGAGCCUGGACUCUGUCCCAAGGGCACUGGGGUGCCAGGAGGGUUUGAAGUGGAGGAGGGACAGAGUCAGGUUGCACUUUAGGAAGAGUCUGCUGGCUGCCAUGUGGGGGAUGGACCCUGAGCUCUCUGUGUGAGAGCCCAGAGGAAGCUGCCUAGGGAAUCCUGGCAGCUGGGUGGAGCUGGGCAGGCUGUGGGGAAGGAAGGAGGGGGCUGGUGGAAAGAACAAUCAGGAGGCUGAGUGGAAGGGCCAUGGAGCCGACAGGCUGGAUUUGAGGGAGACAUUCAGGGAAAGGUCAGGGCUCUGGCUUAAAGAGGGGGCAGUGGGGACAACUCUGAGACGGGGUUCUGGGGGGAAGUGCAGUUUGGGGGAGAUUCUAAGGUUAAUGUGGGACCCGGUGGGUGUGAGGCUCCCGGGAAACAUCCAGGGGGAGGUGUCCAGGGCACUGUGAGGCCCCAGAUGUGGGGCAAAGAAGAGAGCCUGGGGCAGGGGAAAAGGGAAAGAAAGCCUGUGUGGGUGGGUGAGGAGCGUGGGAAGACAGCCAAGGACAGGGAUCAGGAAGGACCCACAAGAAGGUGGUAACAUGCAGGGUGCAGCCAACAGUUACAGCAGUGGACGUUGCUGUCUCUUCUACCGGAUCACCUCGAGACCGGAAGAGCAGCGCUCACGGAAAAAGGCUACUGCGCAAGUGCAAAGGUGGCAGGCGACCACUGAUGCGCAUGCGCUAAGGAUUCCCGCCCAAACUGCCAGAAGUAGUGCGUGGCAUCAUGUAGUGGUCACGUGGUGAUCACUGUAGGAGGCCAACGGUAGGUGUAAAGCCGUGUGGACUGGGCCCUCAGCUCUCCACCAGACCCCUUCCCCAGCGCGCAGAUCCCGCCCUCAGGCGCCUCCUCCCUCAUACUCCUCCCUUCCUUCGGCUCCUGCGCCCUCUGACACCACGUCUUUAUCAGGCCCUGUCAGCAUCCAGCUCGCCCUCUCUGCUGCCCACAGGUACAGCCCUCAGACCCCUUCCUUACUUCUGUCCCCUCUCCUAGCCCGUAGACCCCUCCGCAGCACAUAGAUGCUUCCCUAAACCUCAGUCCACGCCCCCAACCCUCCUACCCUCUCCCAGCUCACAGACCCAGCCGCUGCCCUCAGAUCCCUCCCCCGGGCUCUUUCCGCAGCCGGAAGACCCUGCCCUCAGACUGUCGUCCUCCCUUGGACAUUUCCCUCUCACAGCCCGUAGACCCCACCCCCUCUCUGGUCCUAACCCUCAGGCCCCUCUUCCUCCAGCCACUAGGUAGUCUUCAGACCCUCUUCCUAAGGCCUCAGACUCCUUUCCUUGGCCCAAAUCCUGUCCCUUUAGCCCUUACACAGACCCCAUCUCCCAGAUAGAGCACCUAGCCCUCAGAUUUCCUUAGAUCCUCUUCAUUCUCAGACUCCCUUAGAUUCCUGACCUUGUAGCUCUCUCAGAGCCCACCUUUUUUCUCAUUCAGACGUUUCUCUCCAAAUAAGACCCCUCCUGAAUCACCUUCCUUUCUCAGACUGUCCUCCAGGACUCCCCACCAGUCUGUCUUUAUUGUCCCCAGAGGCCUAGUCCAUCACUUCCUCCUGCCCUCAUGAGAACCCCUAGCUGAUCCCUGGCCAGAAGCUGACUGAAUCUGGAGCCCACAGAUGUCCUCGCUGCGUUCUCGCUUACCUGUGGAGCUGGGCUCCGUUAGGGAUCCAGAAGGCCAGGUGGGCCGUCUGCAUCGCCUUGCUGUGGCUGGGGGCCCAAGCUGGGGUCUUACCCGGCUUCUGCAGAGAGUUGUCCAGGUAGAUGGUGAGAACUCUGCUGGGCAGACGGCGCUCUUCCUCUCUGCGCUGCUGGGCCACAGCUCUGCUGUGCGGCUCCUGCUGGCCUUUGGUGCCAACCCCAACCACCGCUGCCUCGAUGGCAGCACACCCGUGCAUGCGGGCGCCUUCUCCGGCCGCAGCCUGGUUAUGCUGCACCUGCUGCAGGCAGGGGGUGACCUGCGUCUGCAUGACCAGCAGGGUCACACCCCGUGGGACUGGGCAGAGCAGGGUGGUGCCAAGCAGAGCUGUGAGAUGCGGGAGCUGUUACAGCUCUGCCGGGCCAACAUAUCAGCACUAGUACACGGCAGUGAGUUGGCACCCACUGCAUCCGUGGACCAGUUGCAGGCCGGCUCUGGACACAGCCUGUGUGGUGGUUCCCUGUUCUUUCUGCGGCUGGUGCAAGCGGACAGGGCACCAUGGCCAGAGCAGAUCAGGAGAUCCCCCCGAAUUCCAGCCUCAGGGUUCGGCCAGCUGAGCAGCCUGUGGCCACUGGGGCUGGUAACAGGCAUACCCCUCGCAGACCCCAAGGAGCUACUGCCAGCCCAGGGCGAGCCCGACCGCACCUAUGAGAGCAGCUCCCACACCCUCAUGGCCAACCUCCUGUGGAGGGGCCACCCUGUGACCGUGCGGCAGCUGAAGGCACCUGGAACCCAGCCUGACGUGCUGCUGGCUGACCUUCAGCACUGCAGCACCCUGCACCACCCCAGCCUGUUGCUGCUGAUGGCAUUGAGCCCCUCGGCGGACCUGUCGGGGCUGUGCCUUCUCUUCGAACCCGUGUGGCUGGGCUCCCUGCAUGUGGUGCUGCACCCACAGGGACCGAGAGCGGCAGGGCCCCGCGGGGCACCCCGCCCUGUGCCAGGCCUGCUGCCCGGCCGCCUGCUGCUGCAGGUGCUGGAGGCCCUGCUGUUCCUGCAGGCCCGCUGGCGUGCUCACGGCGGCCUCAGCUCCCAUGCCGUGCAGCUGGUGCGGCCAGGCCUGGCCAAGGUGGGCAGCCUGGAACACGGGCGCUCGCUGCAUCAACGCUGGCUGAGGCCCAGGCCACAGCAGGGCUAUCCCUGGGGAGGCCCAGGCCCAGGACUGCCCCCACCUCCCGAACUGUAUCCAUGGCUGCCACUUGAGCUCAUCUGUGGUGACACGCCUGCCGCCACCUCAGACCUCUACAGCUUCUGCAUCCUGGCCCAGGAGGUCUUCACUGGAGAGCUGCCCUGGGCUGGACGAGAGGGACCUGAGGUGAAGGCCAAACUGGAGGCAGGUGAGAGCCCGGCCCUGGACCCGCUGGUGCCAGCCCCCUACCAGGCCCUGGUUCGGGCUGGGCUGGGCCUAGGGCCUGCCGACCGCCGGGGCAGCCUGCAGAGUACACGAUACCUGCUGCGGGAGGCCAUGGCCCAGGACUCGGCUCCCGAGGUGAGCUCCCCGGUGGACUGGACCACACUGUGCCCUUCACGCCAGGGUUUCCCACCAGGUCAUGGGCCACAGCAGAGUCCAGAGUGGUGCAGCCUGGAAUUCAGGCAGCAGCCUGACUCUAGGCAGCAGCCCAAGUCCCAACCCUAGCCUCUGCCCAGGCCACAGCCCCACGGCCAGGGUCAGCCUGCACCGCUGCCUGGAGCCCAGAUCCACAGUAUGGAUACUCUGAGCCCCGCAUGACUGUCCAUUCACUUACCUGUGAUCCCUCUCCCCAGUUGUCACCAACCCCAAUUUCCCUGGCUACCUCUUCUCUGACCAGGGAGCCCCUGUCAUCCCCAACUGUCCCCUCACUGAUCUGUGACCCCCGACUGACCCUGCUUCCCCUAGGGCCCUGCCCUGCACUCCAGCCUUCAGGACUCAGCCUUCUGAGUUCUGAGGAGCAGUUUGAGAGGAAGUUCUCAGCCAAGAUCCAAGCCCUGCAGGGGCUGAGGCAGCACACACACAGGGCCGCCUUGCUGGACCCCCCCAGCCCCAUGAGCCCACCCCCUGUCUACUGACCUACAGGGAGGCUUCCCACAUCCUAGAGGCUGCUGGCAGGGAAAGCCACGAGGGCAGGUGAAGCAGAAGACCCUGAGCCCAGGCCCUGCCCCCACCCCCGGGCCCAUCCUGAGCUCUGUGGCCACCUGGUGGCAGCUCCAGUCUUUUUCUCCUGCAGGAUCCCAGCUCUGAGCUAAUCAGAGGAAGUCUCUUCUCCAGCCUGCAGAAGAUGGAUCUGCUGGAGGAGAUCAUAGCAGAGAUGAAAGGUGGAUACCAACUUGAAGACAGACCCAAGCUCAAUCCCACUCCUGACACAAAUUGUCAGG